rnacentral:rRNA from 1 species
GUGGGGAAUAUUCCGCAAUGGACGAAAGUCUGACGGAGCAACGCCGCGUGAGUGAUGAAGGUUUUCGGACUGUAAAGCUCUGUUGUUUAGGACGAAAGUGCCUGUUGCAAAUAGUUACAGGUAUUGACGGUACUGAACGAGGAAGCCACGGCUAACUACGUGCCAGCAGCCGCGGUAAUACGUAGGUGGCAAGCGUUGUCCGGAAUUAUUGGGCGUAAAGAGCAUGUAGGCGGGAAUCUAAGUCUGUUGUGAAAAUGCGGGGCUCAACCCCGUAUUGCGAUGGAAACUGGGUUUCUUGAGUGCAGGAGAGGAAAGGGGAAUUCCCAGUGUAGCGGUGAAAUGCGUAGAUAGUGGGAGGAACACCAGUGGCGAAGGCGCCUUUCUGGACUGUGUCUGACGCUGAGAUGCGAAAGCCAGGGUAGCGAACGGGAUUAGAAACCCCGGUAGUCC